GAUGAAGAACGUAGCGAAAUGCGAUAAGUAAUGUGAAUUGCAGAAUUCAGUGAAUCAUCGAAUCUUUGAACGCACAUUGCGCCCCUUGGUAUUCCGGGGGGCAUGCCUCUUCCAGCGUCAUUUCACCCCUCAAGCUCUGCUUGGUUUUGGGCCGCGCCGGCAACGGCGGGCCUCGAAAAUAGUGGCGACGCCAUCGUGCUCUCAGCGUAGUAAUUCUUCUCGCUAUGGAGUCCUGGUGGAUGCUUGCCAUCAACCCCCAAUUUUUCUAUGGUUGACCUCGGAUCAGGUAGGGAUACCCGCUGAACUUAAGCAUAUCAAUAAGCGGAGGA
rnacentral:misc_RNA from 1 species